UACGGGGGGGGUAAGCGUUGUUCGGAAUUACUGGGCGUAAAGGGCUCGUAGGCGGCCAACUAAGUCGGACGUGAAAUCCCUCAGCUUAACUGGGGAACUGCGUCCGAUACUGGAUGGCUUGGAUUUGGGAGAGGGAUGCGGAAUUCCAGGUGUAGCGGUGAAAUGCGUAGAUAUCUGGAGGAACACCGGUGGCGAAGGCGGCAUCCUGGACCGAGACUGACACUGAGGAGCGAAAGCCAGGGGAGCAAACGGG
rnacentral:rRNA from 1 species